ensembl:lncRNA
AUAUAAAUUAAGGGAAUUUUAGAAUUCAAAUUGUUCAUGGAAAGCAAGCUGAAUAAAUGAACAGAUACAAGUCAGUUUAGAGAGAGUAAACAAAGUUCAAAAUUACCAAAUGAAAAAGUAGUAGGAUUCAAAGUCAAUUAUAAGCUGCAAAUUAUUGAAAUAUAAUGCUGCUUUAAAAAUGAAAUGGGGAUGAUACCAGUAUACCUCACUUGAGAGCACAGAUAUACUCUGUUAAUUUCGCUGCUAGGCAAAAAAAUCUGAAUAAACACAAUUUCCUAGUCACUCCAAUUAUAAAAUUGAGACUGUGCUCCUAAAAAUAAUUAGGUCAAUACUUAAUAAUACCACAUUUGAGAAAACAGCAAAUUACUGAAGCGUCUAUUUAGAGGAAAAAAACAACUUCCAUGAAUACUACUACUGACAGUAAGUCACCACAUACAUAUAGGUCUAUUUUUUUGUUUUAAUAUAAUAGUGUUGGAACAUAAUAAAUCUAAUUCUUCUCUAAGGAUCUCUCUCCAGCAUCUCAAUAUGCUAACAGUAACCUCUUAGUCAUAAUAUUUCUUUACAUUUCACCAAAGUUACUCUCUUUUCCUGUUGUUGGUUAUGUCAGGAAAAUUGGGGGUACAGGAUGGAUAAAUAUACUGGGCAGAGCAAAGGAGCCUAUACAAAAGUACAUCAGAGGUAAUGACAAGGCAGAAGCAAAUAAGCAAGUGGAAGUGAGUACCUAUUUAUUUUAAUAGGUAAGAAUGCCCACACGGAAAGAAUAUUCUACUCCAUGAGUAUUUAUGUAAUUCAAUAGUAAUGAAUUUUCACAUAACCAAUGCUGGGUUAAAAAAAAAAAAAAAGGUACUGGUAUUUUCAGACAACCCUCCUAACUCUGCUUAGUUAAGGUAUUAAAAAAAAAAAAAGUAGUUAUGGGGUCCACUUGGAGGUUGUGAAAAACAACUGAGGAAGCUAAAAGUUUGGAACAAGUCCAUAAGAAAGCAAUGAAAACGACCUAAGCUUCAUGAAAAAAAGUCCAAAGGCCCUAAAUUAUUUUACCUGAUAAAGACUAUGCAAGUGACAAGGCUGGAAUCCAAAUAUACUCAGAGAUAAACAGUUGGACCUAAGAAAAUACUUAUGUCAUCUAAAGAAGGAAUAAAACUAAAGUAAACUAUGGCAUAUAAAAUUCUAAUUAGGCAUUAGAAUAUGUGCAGACCAUGAGCACUGGAAUAUGUUUCAGAAAAGUUUCAAGCACCUCGAUUACUUUUUCAGAAGCCUUAAGAAUAUACACAGCAAUCUUUCUGAGAUGGAUUUGAUCAAGUUUGUUAGAACUCUAUGAAUUAAAGGCUACACAAAUAAGGUUACUUUCAAAAUCUAUGCAAAUCUUAAGAUCUCAUUGGGCCUCAUUUAAGAAAUAGGUUUUCUUUUAUCAAAAGGCAGGAUCAAUCUGGGCACUGGUUAGAACGUUUUGGAUCCAUUCAUUUAUCACCAAGAGUAAUACCAUCUAUCACAAAGUUAAAGAAUAAAAAAACCAUUUGAGUGUGCCAAGAAUUAGCAUUCAGUAAUUGUAAUGGAAUUGAUAUUGUUUCUGAAUUCAACUGUGAUUUGUAAUUUUGUCUAGCAAUGAUCACGUCAAGAGAACUUCUUAGGGACGUUCUCUUCUUACAAGUCAAUGGCCUUUUUCUGAUUUAAUUCAGAGAGGCAGAAAAUACAUGACCACUUCCGUCAUGCAGUUUUCUAUCAGUACUAUAACUAAUAGCUGGUCUAACAUGAGACUGUCAACACAGAAAGAGAAAAGGGUGAUGAGAUAGAGCUAGCUAUAAAUCCUUAAAAAUAUCACGAAUAAUACCACUUUUAUGUAAUUAAGUUCCGUAUCCCUCACAUUUUCUCUUGAAAUAAAAAUGUCUGGCAAACAUGUCUGGCUACGUUCAUUAUACUGGUAUAUGCCCUAUGAGUCUCAAUCAAACCAUGAAGUUAUUAUUACAUAUUUAAAUAUACUUUUCAUAAAAUAUAAUUCUAAUAGCUAUGCAAAGAGAGUUGGUUUAUGUUUUUGAAUUUUUGCUUGUACAAAAGGACUAUCACUUCUCAUUACAGGUUAUCUGUGAAUUUAAUGUUCAUCUUUUUUUCCUCUUUAUGGUGAGGCACAUGCAAGAAUUUCCCCCUAUUUUAGGUUUCUAGAAUAUUACAAGGGUUUAUUUUAUUUUAUUUUUUAAAGCAAAACCAGUGUACUAUCACCAGUGCAAAGAAAUAAAACUUCAAUGACAGUUUACUCAGACACAACCAUUAACGAGUUUAUUCAUAUCAUCAUGUAAUUAAAGGUCUCUUUUCACUCCAGAAAAUGAAUUCUAUGAAAACAAUAUUUAAUUCUAGAAUUUCCAUCACUCUGUAUCCCAAAAUACAAUUUGGUGAAUUUUGAAAAACAGUUAAAAAUACUUCUUAACAGUUACUUGUAUAUACUUGCCUUUGAUUAUUCUAGUAUCCACUGUAGUGUAAUGGCUAACUUUUUAAUAAUCUAUAUAUUAAAAAUGUUUUUAUUGUGGUACUCAUAUUUAAAUUGAAUGUUAAAAAUUAUCCCCUUAACAAUUCUUGUAUUCUUGUACUUAAAAAUGAACUUCAAGGUGAUCUUUUCAAAUUGAGUGUCCUCCCUCACUUACCUACAGGGAUGUAUCAUCAGGUUUCUAGUCUUCUCUUGAAAAGUUAGUAACAAUCACAAACACUUACUUUGACUGUUUUAGACAACAUUGAAAUAAUGGGUUUCUUAAGGAAGUAUUGAACUGAACAACUACUGAACAUGAGUCUAGGUAAGUAAUAAAAAUAGAAGGAAGGAAGGAAGGGAAAAAAUGAGUUUUAAAAGCUCUGAAGCUGAAGUGAAAUUCUGACCCUAAUGAUCACAGUGUAUAUAACUUUAUAUCCACUGUAUUAACGUAUAUACAAAGAAAUGAAAAUUGUAAAUUAAUUGUUUAGCAGUGUUAAACAAACACUACAUUUUAAAAUUCCAGUACACUGAAAAUAUACUUAUCCAUAACUCAUAGUGACAGAAAAGAUAAACAGGCCCCUUGACAACAUAAAACAUUUCCCAAGGUACGCCACAAUGCACAAUUUUAGACGAAAACAUCUGAAAGCUCAUCUUUGCUUCAGUUUUGACCUCUACCAUAGACUUGCUUUAAACACACCCCUCCCGUGUCCACGGCUGCCUAACCAAACUGUUUGAGUUAGCAGUGUGUGCAAAGAUGUGCCUUCCAGGCAAACUUUUGUUUUCUAAAAGCUAAUCUCUCCAAAUACUUCCAGUUGGAAAACGUCCACUUCAGCUACUUGACACCAGGGCGUCGCUUUCUCCCCUCUGCUUACCUGCCACUACUUAAUUAUUCUUCCAAGCGGACUCCGGGCACGCUGGGGAGGUAGCUCUUUAAGCACUUCUGAAUCCAUGAUGACUAUAUAUGUACACAUCUUACACACUCCCACAGGUCUCUCACACCCUUUCUCCCGCCCGCCCGUUCGGAGCCCUCGCCCAGGCCACUUCGCAAACCUCACGUCGCGAAUACCAGCCCACCUGGGAGCAAACAGUACUCGAGGAAUAAUCCUCAAGAUCAAGAAACUGACUGGACUGAAUUUCAACAUGUGGUGAGAGAAAACGGGAGGGGGGAGAAUAGGAGCAUUACAGAUAGCAGCUGUCCUUUAAGUGGUUUAAAUCUGUUGGUUAAAAAGCUGAAUAAACAAAUACACAGAUGGGUUCAGUUCCUCGGGGAUUCCGGAGCCUGAGAAGCCUCCCCAGCGGUGUCCAGUCGGCCUCUCUUGACUCGUCCCCACGCAAAACGCACACUGGUCCCGCUCUCAGCCGCGGCCGCCUCGCACGUGUCUGUCCCUCCCGUUGGUCCUGGGGAGCGUCACCCACGCGCCAGGCGCCCGAAGAGACUUACCUAAGAGAUCUGAGAGCCUGAGGACAGUAGGGCAACUUUUCCUCCCUGCUCUACACAGGCGGGAACACUCACGGCCAGCGCGGGUCCACGCGGAGGCCAGCACCCAGGUCGGGCUGUCGGGCGCCGUCUGGCCUGCGGGGCGGAGAGAGGCGCGCGGGCGACGUGCGGGCGCCGCGCCUCCACCCCGUGGGUCGGCCCGCGCCGCCGCCGCCGCACGUGCGCCGCUGCAAACGCGCCGGGGCGUCGGGACCCGCGCUCCGCCAGGGUCAAAGUCAACGCGGCGCGCCUGCCCUCCGCGGAUAUACAGGUAAAAGCCAACCGAGAAGCCCUCCCUUUCUCGGAAAGGUGUCUGCGCCCCUCGCACAUGCCCUCCCCACCCCCGAAGAACCGCGAGGCGCGAUUUCACCCCAAACCCACGCACGGAGUGGAAAGACCUUUCCAAAGCGGAAGCAAAGUAAGACCAGGACGGAGACCAGGGGAAGCGGGUCGUGCUAACCGUGGACGCGGGAAAGAGUGUGAUCCGGGGCAGCAGGGAGAUGCGCGAUUAUCCCGAAGCGUCACUAGGGGCCAGGAGUUUCUUCCCUCGAGAGACAGGGGUGUCCCCUCUCCGACUGCAGUUCCCGGAGAAGUACUUCUGAAAUGUACGCUCAAGUGUCUAACUUAGAGACGAGGAGCGUGCACUUGCCCAAUGGAGUAAAUAAAGGUCAGCAGUUGGAUCAAUAAAGUGUGUGCUUCCAACCGCCAGAUGUUUUUACUGUGGUGUCUCCUCCCGGGGGGGAGGGAGGAAGGGAGGAAGAGGAAGAGACAACAAACAAAAAUAAAAGAGUAAACAAACACAUCUGGUGUUUCAACACACAUCUUCCUCAAGCCGCGGUCUCUCUGGACAAGGCAAGAUUUUGCAUAUUCAAAACUAAAAAUCAUCCGUGAGCCAACAGCAAUCUCCCCUCUCUGGACUCCCCCUUCCCCCAUCACAAAGCAAAAUGAAAAAGAACAACAAGUGGUGAUACGGGGUAAGGAACGCGACCCCGACGCCAAGCCGAAAUUUGACACAUGUCACACCCGCCCCGGCGCGCCGAGCGCUGCGGCUGGGGAGAAACUUUGCCGCCGACGCCACUGGAGGAGCGCGGAGCAAAGUCGCAGCCCGGCCCGGCGUGGAGGUAUCUUCUUAACUUCUCUCAUCUCAAGUAUUUUUAAGGAAAUGCAAUUCUUCCAAUGGCACUCUUACAGAUAAGCACAUUCUACUUUAUGAAUAUCUUCAGAGAAUUGUGGUGCCUGUAAUUGGGGAUGGCUCCCUAGAGGGGCUGCUCUCCAGGCACAGAGCCUAUGCUCCACCAGAGAGUCCCUUCUGCAAGCAGAGCAGUAGCCCCUGCCCACCCUGGAGGGAAUCCUCUUCUAACUGCCAACUUUGGUUGACAGAUAAAAGGGAAAUUCCUUUGACCUGGCAAGCCACAGAGAAACUGUUCCACUCACAGCAUCCAGAAGGAAAAGAUUCAGAAACCAAGUGGCCAUCCCUGAUGUACAGCUGAUUGGACAUGAGUGGGGACUGGGAAGAAAUCGAAAUAAUUUGCUUCUCUCUUCUAAUCAUUCAGGAUGCGACACUGAGAGGCAAUUCCAAAGUCCUAUGUGAAAAUCAUAGAGGAAACUUUUGCAAGAUUUAUCAUGGACACUGAAGAAGAUGAAGAAAAUAUUUUUUGGAAUAGUAGCAUAUUGAUUAAAUAUCAUGGUGAGGAGUGAAUGGCCUUUAAAAUUAAGGCCAAUAUAAGAUAAAGACAACUUUCUGAAGCAACUUCUUCAUUUGUGCUGUUUGAAAGAUAAUUGCCUUGUAAAAAGUUCCAAAGUGGCAGCAAUAGUUGAGACUCUAGAAACCGCUUGAAACUCUUCUUCCUCAUAAGCACUGACUGCCUUUUGAUCAUUUAGAAGUGUGUCUUCAGUCACUAGAAUAGACAUCAAUUAUCUCUUUAUUCUGGAUUUUCCAAGUGUAAAACAAAUUUCUCAGACAAUUGACUGAUUGAAUCUGAGAUACUGUGGACGUCAACUUGAACACCAGUGAUCUGCUUAGAUAGGUCAUCCUCUUUUUCAUACCAGUGUUAAGUCAAUGCAGUAAAUCAUUAAGAUAGAACUGCUGAUUUUAAAAAAAGUAAACCAUAAAUUGGAACGAAAAGAAUUACAAUAGGGAGUAACUCACAUUUGGGAUAUGUCUUUCUCAUGGUAGAAGGAGAAGAGAAAUAGUCAAAACAUGCAACGGCCCUUAAAACUUCUCAGGUAUAGCACGCAUCAUUCAUGCUCACAUUUUAUUGGACAAAGCAAGUCAAAUGGUCAAACCCAAAGUCAAUGGAGUGAAAAAGAUUCCUGAAGAGAAUCUCCACAAGUCACAUGACAAUGGAUGGGAGAAUUCUGGAGGCUGGGAGUCCAAGAUCAAGGUGUCAGCAGAGUUGAUUUCUGGUGAGACCUCUCUCCUUGGCUUUUCAAUGGUUGGUUCUAACUGUAUCCUCACAUGACCUUUUCUCCAUGCCUGGGUGCUCCUGGUGUCUUUCUCUUUUUGUAAGAACACUAGUCUUAGAAGGACAUUCCACCCUGAUGAUGUCAUGAACCUUAAUUCCCUCGUUAAAGACGCUGCUCCAAGUACAGUCACAUUGGGGCAUAGAGCUUCAACAUACGGAUUUUGGGGGGACAUAGUUCAGUCCAUAGCAGUCUUCAUCAUUAUAUUAGUUGUCUCAAGACAGGGACCUUGUCAUUAUAUCCCUAAUCCCUAGCAUGGUGACUGACACAUAGUGGGUGCUUAAUAAAUGAUGAAUGGACACAAAGGACAGUAAUAUAUGGACUAUACAGUAUAACGUGGUGAUUAAAGACAGACAUUUGAGGCUUGUGUUCAAGUUCCAGCAAUACCUCUUAUCCGGACCCAGUUUUUAAAUCUGUUAAGUAGGCAUAAUAAUAAUGCCUCUCUUUUUUAAUUGUUAGGAGAUUAAAUGAGUGUCUGGUAAAUUAGAAGUGCUCAAUAAGUGUUAGUUGGGAUUGUUAUCGUUUAACUGUGCUUCAUUUGAGCAGCCUACUUUCAUUUGCACAUCAGCUAAAGCUGCACCUCUUUCAUCUGAUAAGCAGGAUCAGAGCGCCCUAGGUUGUAAUCAAGGGCUGCAGACGUGGGAGUGGAGUGAGUGUGUCACGGAGCCGUCAUCCUGGGCAGUUGUUCUCCAGGAAUUGUUCCUGUCUGCUUGGGGGUGAUAUUUUGGCCCUCGUGAUGGGUAAUAUUCUUAGUGUUUUCAGGCAAAGUUAGGCUGAAUUAAUUUUAGAACUGACCCACUUACAUAUUUUUAAACUUUAGACUACGGCAGCUAAACAGCUAAGUUGGACAAUUUACAAACUGUAUUAUGGCUUAUAUGGGGCAGGCCACUCUCGAAAUAGGACCAAGAGGCCCGAGAGUCCAAGUGACUGGUUCUUGACAGAUUCAGAAUAUCAAUUAAAUCCUUAACCCUUGGUCAUCUGCUGGAAGUCUAGCAGUUUGGAGGGGAAGACAAGAAAACAUGCUAUAAUCUGGUUGGGGAAUAAAAAAACAAAAAAAGAAAAAUCAGAUCUAGAAUGUCAUAGAAAAGUUAUCAAAUAAAUAGAAUAAUUUUCCCCUUGGCACAUUAUUAGAAUAAUUUGCACGUGGGCACACAUGUAACCAAGUAUACAUGGCAAAUAUCAUAGAAUAGCUAUCGAAUAAAUAGAAAUUUGGGCAAAUUUCAAUUACACUGAACUAUAUUGACUUGCUAAAUUUAGAUUUUAAAAUUUCAAUUAAUUUGUCAAUUUGCAGGCUUUUCCUGUGUUCAGGGAAUGGUAUAGUAUUUGCCUCUUCUUCCUCCCUCACCCAGCUGCCUUCCUUGAAGUCAAGAGGGGUACCUGACUUGUCUUUGUGUCUCUUGCAGUGAUGUUCACGGAGUCAUUCACAUAGUAGGUGCUGAAUAAAUAUUAAUGGAAUCCAGUGUAAGCAGCAUUAUGCAGAGCUCACUCCCUGCUUCUUGCUGUCAUUCAAGAGUCCACCAUAACAUUUUUCCUACUGAGUGGGACUUGAACUUACAAUUUUUCUCACCCUAGUGCUCCAGGAAGCCACAAUGCAUCAUUUACGCUUGGGAAAAUGUUGUGACCAUGUGAGCAUGGCAAAGGGAGCUAUGGCCACACUCAAGGAGAUACUGGGGAGGAAGCUCUUCUUGCAGUAGACACUGUGCUCCUUUUUGAUCAAAGUUAAGAAGACUUCGAUCAAAAAGCAUAUGAACAUUAUUCUAGAGUGAGAGUCACUUUGGGGUUAAGCGGAGAACUCUGUAGUAAUGAUCAGUUACUUUCCCCAUUAUAUGUCUUUACACAUGUAGACUCUAACCCUAUUACCGUAUCCGCUGGUAGCAUUGAUGCAGGAAAGAAAUGAUGCGAAAGAUUACCUGAUCAAGAAAGAGUAAUGAGGGGCCGGCCCGGUGGUGCAGUGGUAAAGUUCCCACAUUCUGCUUUGGCGGCCUGGGGUUCACCUGUUUGGAUCCCAAGUGUGGAUCCCCAGCAUGGAAGCGGACAUGGCACCACUCAUCGGGCAACGCUGUGGUAGGUGUCCCACGUAUAAAGUAGAGGAAGAUGGGCACGGAUGUUAGAUCAGACCAGUUUUCCUCAGCAAAAAGAGGAGAAUUGGCAGCAGAUGUUAGCUCAGGGCUAAUCUUCCUCAAAAUAAAUAAAUAAAUAAAUAAAAGAGUAACGAAACCAGAGUAAAUAAAUACUCAUAAUCAAAUCUGAAAAUAGUACUGUUUCUUCAAACACUGAGACCUGUAUGAAAGUCACAACCAUUUUUCUUAGAAGAUACCUUAUAAAACACAUAACCAUAUAAACUUUAAAUGUCUAAUAUUACAAUAAACUACUAUAUUUAGAAGGAAAUUUAAAGAUAUUAGAAUUUUGUCUCAUGAACCAAACUAAAGAAUACAUUUAUUUCAUAUACUAGGACUUAUUUAUUGACAAAUAGUUUCUUCCAGUCAAAAUUCUAUUAGGAUCUGAUUUUCUAAGCCUAUUAAAAGUAAUAGGCAAAUCAAUAACGAUUUAGUGAAAAACUUCUUUCCACUUCAACCUCCUUCACACAAAAUGAAUGAGAACAUUCCAUUUGACCACUUAUUGAAAGAGAAAUAAAGUCAUAAUCUAGUGACGUAGGAUCAGUGUCUCUUGUUUUGCCUUGGCCUUACUACUUUGAAGCAAGGGGACAAUAUCUUGUGAAAAGAUUUUGGUUUAAGUACUUGUAUUUUUAAAUUAAUUGGUUAGUCUUUCUAUUCAACUAAAGGUAAGCGAUAAAAGAAAUACUUUAAGGCUACCAACAUUUUGCUAGUAGUGAAUACUGUGGUCAAAAAGCCUGAAGUCAUACAAAUGUUCCUCAGUGUUUAUUAAUUGGGUAAUAUCAGUUUACAGAGCACAUUUUUUUAGUAUGUUACUAGUAUGAUAAUAUGUUACAUGGUUCUUCUAAU